rnacentral:rRNA from 1 species
AAGUCAUUUGAUGGAUGGCUUGGCUCGGAAGCCGAAGAAGGGCGUGGCCAGCUGCGAAAAGCUCGGGCGAGGCGUAUGCAACCCUUGAACCCGAGAUUCCCGAAUGGGACUUCCCGCCCUUUAUUUAAGGGCAAUCCGAGAGGAUUGGGAACGCGGGGAAUUGAAACAUCUUAGUACCCGCAGGAGAAGAAAGAAAAAAGAUCGACGUAGAUUUUAUCUACGUCAGUCUGUUUCGAUGCCGUGAGUAAAGGCGAUCGAAAGCGGCAAAGGGUAAACCGAAUGCAAAGAUGUGGUGUAUGGGCCCCAGUUCAGGAUAAAUCUGGAGAAGCCGAAAUUCUCUGGAACGGGAUACCGUAGAGGGUGAUAGUCCCGUAGGUAUAAUCUGGAUUUAUUCUUGGGUAUCCCAAAGUACCAUGGGUCGGAUAUCCCGUGGGAAUAUGGGAGGCAUCACCUCCCAACCCUAAAUACUCUCCGAGACCGAUAGCAAAUUAGUACCGUGAGGGAAAGCUGAAAAGUACCCCUGACAGGGGGUGAAAAGAACCUGAAAUCAAAUGACGAUAAGUAGUCGCGGCUUGAAAGGGUCGAGUCUUGCUUAAACAAAAUAUCGCGAGAUAUUAGUCAGGCAAGAGGACCAGAGUUGCGGCGUCCGUAUUGAAUCACGGGGCAGGGAGUUUAUGGUAGUGGUGAGAGUAAGAGGAUUACCCUCGUACUCAUAGGGAAACCAAGUACCCGCAGUCUUUUUGGACGAGGGGUCGGGUGUGAAAGUGCCUAAAAUCACUGCCAUAAGACUCGAAACCGGUCGAUCUAAUCUGGGGCAGGGUGAAAUCUCUCAACAGAGGGAUGGAGGCCCGAAAGGAUACUAACGUUCAACUUGUUCCUAUGACCUCAGAUUAGGGGUGAAAAGCUAAUCAAGACCGGAAACAGCAGGUUCCUCCCGAAGUGAGCCGUAGUUCAGCCUGAAGGGAGGUAGCUGAUAGGGUAGAGCACUGAUUGGGUGUUUAGGGGGAGAAAUCCCUCGGCAUCCUGUCAAACUCCGAACCUAUUAGCACUGUAGAUCUUCAGAGUGAGGUAGCGGGGUAAGCUCGCUCACCGAGAGGGAAUCAACCCAGACCAAAGUUAAGGUCCCUAAGUGUUGACUAAGUAGCAAAGGUGUCCUUGUCCUAAAACAGCGGGGAGAUAGGCUUAGAAGUAGCCAUUCUUUAAAGAGUGUGUAACAGCUCACCCGUCUAGGUCAAGGGCCCUGAAAAUGGACGGGAAUCAAGUCAACCACCGAUACUUUGGAGCUCGAAAGAGUCUAGUAGGGAGGUGCUCUGAUAGGGUAGAAGUUGGGCCGUAAGGUCCAGUGGACCUGUUAGAGAUAUAGAUCCUGCCAGUAGUAGCAGCAAAGCAGGGUGAGAAUCCCUGUCACCGAAAGGGCUAGGGUUCCUCAGCAAUGUUCGUCAGCUGAGGGUUAGUCGAUCCUAAGAGCUGUCCUAAUUAGAGCAGCCCGAAAGGGAAGCAGGUUAAUAUUCCUGCACCACAAAGAUACAUGCGGUAACGCAAGUCCAAUUUCAGACAGUUCGGGGUAAGUCAAGUAACAUCGUCGUGUUAUCUAAUUGUAUAAGCCAGCGGAGUCGUGUAAUACGGAGAAACUGGUGAAAGCAAGCAUGGCCUGACAUUUUUGUCGGGUUUGACCGAUCUCUGGACUCUGUGAAAAUGAAAUUGGAAUGAAUUCUUUGUGUUCGUACCCAGAACUGACACAGGUGCCCCUAGGUGAGAAGCCUAAGGUGUGUUGGGGUACCCCAGUUGAGGGAAUUCGGCAAAUUGGCUCCGUAACUUUGGGAUAAGGAGUGCGCACUGUCCUGCAAGGGACAGUGCGUCGCAGUGACCAAGAGACUCCGUCUGUUUAAUAAAAACAUAGCAAACUGCUAGACCGUAAGGUUUUGUACAGUUUGUGAGGCCUGCCCAGUGUCGGUAUGUUAAACCUCUGUUCAAGGGGGCUAAGCACCGAUAAACGGCGGGAGUAACUAUAACUCUCUUAAGGUAGCGUAAUACCUUGCCGCUUAAUUGGCGGCUUGCAUGAAUGGCAGAACGAGAGU